CCUGCCCCUAGGUGUGUUACAGGUGUGAUUGCCACAUCACAUGUAUGUCAGUGGGCAGCAGAGAGAAGAGAGGUUGCAUGUAUGGUCAAUGUUAUGACCUAUGAACACCUGAAUGUUUAGUAGCCUAAAUGU